AAAGUCCACUAGGGGUGCCGCUUGGCUGAGAUAAGUAGAUUCUUAAUCCCUUUGAACCUGAUCUAGUUCAUACUAGCGUAGGAAAGUGGAGAUCGGUUGUA
rnacentral:ncRNA from 1 species